GUCGGUGACUGCGGCGCCUGCUUCCGGGGAAGCGGCGGCCGCAUCGUCA
rnacentral:sRNA from 1 species